AUACCUAGCUAAAUUAGUGUCUAGUUUCGUCUCUGAUGACAUUUAUUUCGUAAAAAUCGCUGUUUUUUUCUAAAAAGGUGUUUUUGUGGUCAUUUUGGCUGUUUAUUUCGAGGGUACGGUAGGAGGUCAUCGUUCACUCGAUAACUCUUUUUAAAAUGAAAUAAAAGCGUUUUAAGAUACAUGAUAUGAAUUGAUAUUAAUAUUCGUUAAGUGGGAUUGUCGGUGGACGUUCAUUGGUGAACAGUUGUGCUGGAAUUACGAAAAUAUAUCGAUAUCGUUGAGAGUUCAUUCAUUAGGGGCCUGCUCUCAAUUUUCCUUACAACGCCUCUAGCACUGGGCAAUUGCCACCAUCUUGAAAAGCAGUGCCGCGGAUGGCUAUCGCAUCGCCACUACGCAUGAGAACACGAUGGCUGCCCUGCGCUGCAUUGAUAGUUCGUAAUAAAUUCACAUAAAAACACACCAGAAGAUCUCCGAUUUUAUUUACAAAGAUCAUAUUUUGUUAUUUAUUGAUAAAACAAGCCAUUUUACCACAGCAGGUGACACAUAUUAGGCCUGAAUAAGACUUUAGAAUUUGAAGUGGUGGUGACGAUGCCGAUAUCCAAGAUGGCGGAAUUAUACCAGUGGUCAAAUCUCAUCUAUUUUGGUUAGACUUCGAGAUCUACAUUUUCGACAAAGGCCUGGUGUAAUAUUAUUACGUACUUGAUGAAGGUUUAAUGACACGAAUGAGUACAAGUACAUUACAUUUUUCGACGAAGGCCUUCUGUAAUUUCAUACGCUUCUUACGCAACAUUCAAUAGAUUUAUUUACUGUAUUAUCAUUUCGACCAAGGCGAAUUCGACACUUCAAUUACACAAGGUUAGUAACUUUUGUUCACAAAAUCCAAAUGGAGGCAAAUACAGAACAAUCAAACUUAGUCAUUCCAGUCAGUUACUGAAGCACAGUGAAAACUGCCGGGAGCAGUGCAACUGAUGGCAUGUCAAACUUCCAGUGACUGUCCCUGUCCAUAUAUUUCAAGACAGUACAAAUCUUGUAAUCAUUUUGUUUAUGCAAUGUACGUUAUUAUGUAUCAUUUCAGCACAAUCAAACUUAGUCAUUCCAGUCAGUUACUGAAGCACAGCGAAAACUGUCUGAAUUAGUGCUGCUGAUGGCAUGUAAUUACUCUACUACCACUACCAGUGGCAGUCAAUGUCCAAAUAUUUUCAAGUGUGCGAAAUUAGUACUCGUCUACUUCUUAGUGUUAUUUGAAUGCAAUGUAUGUUAUAAAAAUAUUUUUUCAACACUAUAUCAACAUUCUCAUUCCUGUCAGUUUCUGAAAAUCAGCUAAAGCAAUCGCUACCAAUGCAGCUGAUAACAGCAAUUCUUUUUGUUCCCAAUGCCCAUCCAUGACAAUAUAUUUCACGCAUGUGACAAUCAUGUAAUCAUCCUGUUUUUUGUGUUCUAUUCAUGCAAUAAAUAAAUUCAGUAUUUUCAAAUCAUUGGUGCUACAAAACUAUUCUCAUUAUAGAUUAUUCAUAUUUUAUAAAAUGCUGUCAUGUCAAAUUUUGUGUCGUAUAAAUCAAAAUGAAGUCGGCAUUUUAUAUACAACUUUUGUACUCCUCCUAAAUAAACAUACAAAUCUUGUUUUAUGUAAACUUUGUAUAUGUGACCCGUCACAGCAAAACCAGGCGCAUGUCGCUCUGAGCUUGGCAGGUUGAGACGGACUGUUCUAAUCUUUCAUUAGCGACACCAUUUCUUACCAGAGUGCCUCCUUCAUUCAUACAUCUUGUACUUUAACUCAAGAUACCCAUCUUUGAAUAUUUUUAGUAUACCAAGUACUACAAUGUCAAUGUAUUGAAGUCAUGUUCUUGUAGUGUUAUUGGCUUUCUAUUAUCUUGUCAAAAUACCACUUGGUUCUCGCAAAAUCUCAAUAAAAACAAAUGCUAUUGCAUGUAUUGCAUAUUCUAACAGCUAUCCACUGUAUCGAUUUAUCCAUCAUCUGUACUAUUUGUCACAAAAAUGUUAUAUUAUGUAAAUCAUAUUUCAUUACAUAAUGCACACUGCCAAUUACUGCUGAACCAUUCAUAUGUCAUUUAAAUAAAUAAUUUUCAACUUUUUAAAACCGUCUUAUAGUACUGUUCUUGUCACUUAGCUGAACCAAUUGCUCUAUAGCAUGAAAUUUCCAGAAAUGCCCCAGGGACUGAAAAGUGCUGUUUUAACAGAGAGGUGUCCUAAACUGAGAAGUCGAGUUGAAUGGAAACAACCAAUUUGGAACCAAAAACUACUGUCCUUAUUAAAGAGGUUGUCCUCAAUAGAAAGGUGUCAACAAAAAGUAGGUCCACUGUAUAUGAAAGUACAAACCCUGGUACAUGUAGUGACAUCAUCUACUCCUCGAUGUGGACACCUGCAAAUGCAGCGACAAUGUCACAUCAGUUAUUUAAUUCAUCGUCCUUUGUGCAGAUGGCACCACCCAUCAAACAUGUUGGUGACGAAUAGUGUCGCAGCAUUUCGUCACCGAGCUUUCACGAAAAUGCACUGUCAUUCAUUCAGCCAUAAGUGUAAGACUGUAGGGUUGUUUCCAACCAAAACAUGUUCGAAAUGUGUCAAGCAUUCGAAACACCCAAAGACUGAUUAGAGAAGUCAAAAUUGAAUGGAAACAACCAAUUUGGAACCAAAACUAGUGUCCUUAUUGGAAAGGUUGUCUUUAAUAGAGAGGUGUCUACUAACGGAGGUUCCACUGUAUAUAAUGUAGGAACCCUGGUUGUGACAUUGUCCACUCCUCCAGCUGCACACCACCAAAUCCACAACAAUGUCACACCAGUUAUUUAGUUCAUCAUGCUUAUGGUCAUUGUACUUUCAUCUUAUGUAAAAUGUAACUUUUUACACGGUUUCAAUAAACGAUUUGUAAUUUGUAAAUUAUAAAUUUCACUAAUAAUUUGACGCCGCCAAUUCCACUGGUCUUCGAAAUACGUAAGCUACACUGUUGACGACUAUGACACUCCUCACAAACCACAUUGUGAAUCAGACGCCGAUAGGCUUGUCAUUAAUUUGUUUUGUGUGCGUUUAACUCUCAAAAAAGAUAUGCAUUGCACCUAUAGCAACAAUCUAUUAUGUCUAGACAGGGGUCU